GCCAGGUGACACCACACACCUACUGGAGUUCUCAACAGCUAGGUGACACCACACACCUACUGGAGUUCUCAACAGCUAGGUUUGGUUUGGU
rnacentral:pre_miRNA from 1 species